AAUAACCAGCUUCCUUCUUUUUUCAUCUACUAUCCAGGCGUCUUCAGUAUAAAGAAAAAUGUAGCAAACCAAAUAUAUCAUGAUUCACUUGGAACAAGAUUUGAAGUUGCUGAAGGAAACUUUCUCUUCAGAAAUCAUGAUGCUUAUAAUUUAAAAACACAUGAAAAACCGCCUGGAGCGAACACCGGGCAUGGAAAAUUUCAACUGAACUUGUAAGAUUUUAAUUAAGUUAUAACAGUUUCUUACAACAUGAAAUGUCAAAACAUCUUUUAAUAACAAUCAAAUAAUGGUGAAGCAAAUCCAAGUGUUUCUGUGGAGAGUUGAUUAGGGAAGGAAUAACACCUCCAGAGAAAUACAUGCAUAUAAGUGAAUAGUAAGUAGUAACAGGCAGGGCAAGCAAGCUAUAGGAGUUGCCGAGAAGUCUAGGAAGCCCUUUAGUGUCUGGUUUUCAUAGUAAAUUCUAUUCUAAUCAUAAGAGAUGGUAGUGACAGGUUUAAUAAAAUUUAACCUCAUCUUUAUUGCAGUAAGAAAAAGAACAUAAAACACUGGAAUGUCGCAAAGUGGUGCCAAGUGCGAAAUGCUUUCAAACAUACAACUCUUUUCAUGGGUAUCUUUUUGCUUAGUCAUUCAAGCCUGAUAUUUUUGUAAUCUAGUCCACUGCAUGUCGGUUGACUUUCUUCUUUCUCCAAAUGGAACUUUGCAUCAGAGCAGCAAUUAACCAGUAAGUUCACCAAGAUCAAGAGGCUCCAGCUGAAGUUCUGUGUUUAGCAACUUAAAGCUAGCUUUUCCUUCUGAGGAGCAAAGUGUACUAGCAACAAAAAUGGAGAACCAUUUACUGUCAUACUGCACCCACACCGUGGCUAACAAAGGGCUAUCAGUCCCCUGGGCUGUCAGAACAGAACCUUCCAGAAAUACUUAAUUGCCUUGUUACCUGGGACUUGCUCUUGGCUGUUUCAGGAGUAACUCGUAGUGCAGGUUCUUGGUCCUUGUUAUCUGUAGUGGAGAUGAUUCAUACGGAAUGAAUUACCUAUACGAAUGAGACACACAGGCUUUCUUAUGAGACAGUUCUUGAAUAGUAUAAAAUACACUGGGACAAUUGUACACCUUCUUUCUCACCCAUUCUUGGAAGACUUAUUUGUGUUUUUAAGGCCGUAUCAGGUCAGACUGGUUCCUUCCAACCACUCUAUUUGGUCAGCCAAAUUUGAUCCUUUAACAUGUACCAUGGGUUUUCUGCC
rnacentral:lncRNA from 1 species